CAGGAUCCAUCAGCAAUAACUUCCACCCCAUGGCAUGGUCCCAUCCCUCGUGGAAUUCCUGGGAAUAAUAGAAGAGGCGUAAGAAAUGACCUUCACCUGGAAGCGGGUCCCAGCGGUCCCUCUGAUGUGCUCCCCUAAAGUAAGUCGUUUCAGCAAGUGAAUCCAAACUCUCCAGUCCAUUCCGAGAAGACGCUGAUGGGAGCAGAGACGCCCUCAGCUUUUCCCACACCUGCCUGGUGACUCUGUUCAACAGGUUAAUGGGGCCGUUGAAAUGGGAAGAAGCUGGAAGCCAAGAGCAUGAGGCUAAAACAGUGAGUUUUUUCAAGUGAGAAGCAACAAGAAAGUGUGUUUAUGCUUUCUCAUUGCCAGAGACUGAAUCCUCCCUCCUGCCCAGCCCCUUGCCAGUGAGGAGGGGCGCCUCGUUCCCAAAGCCCGCAGGCCGAGGCGUUACUGCCUCUCAUGGAUGAGUUUGAGGUUCCAGAGCUCUCUCCCUGCCCUGGAAGCUGCUCCCUCAGUGGAGAGGGGACUGUGCAUCCCUGGGUGCCGGCUGCUCCUCUGUCCAGACGAUGGCAGUGAGCCAGACCUGCUGAGGUCCUGUGUGGGGAAUCUCCACGCCUGCCCGCUGGCCCAUCUCCCCUCCUGACCUUUCUCCCUGUC